rnacentral:rRNA from 1 species
GACGAACCGUGCGAACGUUGUUCGGAAUCACUGGGCUUAAAGGGCGCGUAGGCGGUCUGUCAAGUCAGGGGUGAAAGCCUCCAGCUUAACUGGAGAAGUGCCUUUGAUACUGGCGGACUCGAGUGAGGUAGGGGUAGUGGGAACUUCCGGUGGAGCGGUGAAAUGCGUAGAUAUCGGAAGGAACACCGGUGGCGAAAGCGGCGCGCUGGACCUCUUCUGACGCUGAGGCGCGAAAGCCAGGGGAGCAAACGGG